AAAUAAGAGGAUGGGAAGAGUGUUGAGAAGAAGAAUGUAAGGUUUCUUCCAUUUACUGUUGAGUUAAAGAUGAUAAUAGCCAAUUAGAACGCAACUCUUUGUAUUUCAAUCUUUUACAAAUGUACAUGUUUUGAUUUAUGCUUUGGAUAAGCUUAUACCUUUGUUCCUAUAUCAUUGGGAUUAAGCUUGGGUGUAGUCCGGUUCCAGGCUGGAACUGUAACCAGGCCGAAGGUUUCCCUUUGG
rnacentral:misc_RNA from 1 species